rnacentral:rRNA from 1 species
CAUAUCAAUAAGCGGAGGAAAAGAAACCAACAGGGAUUGCCCUAGUACCGGCGAGUGAAGCGGCAACAGCUCAAAUUUGAAAUCUGGCUCUUUCAGAGUCCGAGUUGUAAUUUGCAGAGGGCGCUUUGGCGUUGGCAGCGGUCCAAGUUCUUUGGAACAGGACGUCACAGAGGGUGAGAAUCCCGUACGUGGUCGCUAGCCUUCGCCGUGUAAAGCCCCUUCGACGAGUCGAGUUGUUUGGGAAUGCAGCUCUAAAUGGGAGGUAAAUUUCUUCUAAAGCUAAAUACUGGCCAGAGACCGAUAGCGCACAAGUAGAGUGAUCGAAAGAUGAAAAGCACUUUGGAAAGAGAGUCAAAUAGCACGUGAAAUUGUUGAAAGGGAAGCGCUUGCAGCCAGACUUGCCUGUAGUUGCUUAUCUAGACUUUUGUCUAGUGCACUCUUUUGCGGGCAGGCCAGCAUCAGUCUAGGCGGUUGGAUAAAGGUCUCUGUCAUGUACCUCUCUUCGGGGAGGCCUUAUAGGGGAGACGACAUGCAACCAGCCUGGAGUGAGGUCCGCGCAUCUGCUAGGAUGCUGGCGUAAUGGCUGUAAGCGGCCCGUCUUGAAACACGGACCAAGGAGUCUAACAUCUAUGCGAGUGUUUGGGUGUCAAGCCCAGACGCGUAAUGAAAGUGAACGGAGGUGGGAACCCUUUGGGUGCACCAUCGACCGAUCCUGAUGUCUUCGGAUGGAUUUGAGUAAGAGCAUGGCUGUUGGGACCCGAAAGAUGGUGAACUAUGCUUGAAUAGGGUGAAGCCAGAGGAAACUCUGGUGGAGGCUCGCAGCGGUUCUGACGUGCAAAUCGAUCGUCAAAUUUGGGCAUAGGGGCGAAAGACUAAUCGAAC